UUGCUGAUCUUUUUGAAGCUGCAGUCUAGAAAUGGUGACAGAUGAAUAACAUACCUCAUUAUUGCAUAUCCAUGUGAUAGAUUAGAUCCUAUGUAGAGUUUUGAACAAGUUCUUGGUUCUUUGACAAAUGACACUCUGUGGUCAUGUGACUUCUUGUGUAGGAAGCACCUUUCCGGGAUAAGAACAAGUGCAAAUGUCAAAUUAGUACUUGUCAUUGGCUUUAUCCUUUUUGACAUAUGGACGUCUCCUUUCUUCCUGCAACCCGAUGAGGUCUCUUGCCGUUGCCCUGUUCUUGGUUUGCACUGGUAUAAGUCUGGGUCCCAGAUUGGCAGCCCACAUUACUGUGAGUCUUGCUGGAGAUUUUGCCCUGCCCACAGAGUUAGCAACAAUGAUAUCACUUAAAAUGUCCAUGUCGAUUGUCCAAUAGAACUGAGGUGUUAGAAGGCAGCAUUCUGACAGCUGGCUUGCAUUUCCCCAGCAAAUCAGUAUCUGAAAAACUUCCUUCCUCUCCUAGGUCUCAGAAAGUGCAAGACAGCUGGAAUUGGACACACACCAGUAAGAGAGCUUCCUGAAGAAUAAGUUGCUUUCUCAGGAGUCCCUGAUGACCAACACCCUGAAUGAAAACACCACUUGAGAGACACCUUGGGGGACCGCCUUUCAUUAUGUGUGCUAGAGGAGACACAGCAAUACAUCUGUGCUUCUACAUGUUCGUUAAGAAUCUGCUUUUAGAAAUAUUUUUGUUAUGAUUUUAAUUGAAGUUUUCUUUUUGUUGUUUCAUAUUUGUAUGUUCUUGUUACUAUUUUUAUUUUCAAAUAUUUUUAAAUAUUUUUAUUCAUUUUAAUCCUGUUUUGUUAUAAAAAUGUAUUCGUUAUGAAUAAAAAUUGAAUUCU
rnacentral:sRNA from 1 species